rnacentral:rRNA from 1 species
CCUACGGGAGGCAGCAGUGAGGAAUAUUGGUCAAUGGACGCAAGUCUGAACCAGCCAUGCCGCGUGCAGGAAGACGGCUCUAUGAGUUGUAAACUGCUUUUGUACGAGGGUAAACGCAGAUACGCGUAUCUGUCUGAAAGUAUCGUACGAAUAAGGAUCGGCUAACUCCGUGCCAGCAGCCGCGGUAAUACGGAGGAUUCAAGCGUUAUCCGGAUUUAUUGGGUUUAACGGGUGCGUAGGCGGUCGGAUAAGUUAGAGGUGAAAUCCCGAGGCUCAACUUCGGAAUUGCCUCUGAUCCUGUGCGGCUAGAGAGGAGUUGCGGUAGGCGGAAUGUAUGGUGUAGCGGUGAAAUGCUUAGAGAUCAUACAGAACACCGAUUGCGAAGGCAGCUUACCAAGCUACUUCUGACGUUGAGGCACGAAAGCGUGGGGAGCAAACAGGAUUAGAUACCCGAGUAGUC